GGGAGCUUGCUCCCUGAGAUUAGCGGCGGACGGGUGAGUAACACGUGGGCAACCUGCCUAUAAGACUGGGAUAACUUCGGGAAACCGGAGCUAAUACCGGAUACGUUCUUUUCUCGCAUGAGAGAAGAUGGAAAGACGGUUUUGCUGUCACUUAUAGAUGGGCCCGCGGCGCAUUAGCUAGUUGGUGAGGUAAUGGCUCACCAAGGCGACGAUGCGUAGCCGACCUGAGAGGGUGAUCGGCCACACUGGGACUGAGACACGGCCCAGACUCCUACGGGAGGCAGCAGUAGGGAAUCUUCCGCAAUGGACGAAAGUCUGACGGAGCAACGCCGCGUGAACGAAGAAGGCCUUCGGGUCGUAAAGUUCUGUUGUUAGGGAAGAACAAGUACCAGAGUAACUGCUGGUACCUUGACGGUACCUAACCAGAAAGCCACGGCUAACUACGUGCCAGCAGCCGCGGUAAUACGUAGGUGGCAAGCGUUGUCCGGAAUUAUUGGGCGUAAAGCGCGCGCAGGUGGUUCCUUAAGUCUGAUGUGAAAGCCCACGGCUCAACCGUGGAGGGUCAUUGGAAACUGGGGAACUUGAGUGCAGAAGAGGAAAGUGGAAUUCCAAGUGUAGCGGUGAAAUGCGUAGAGAUUUGGAGGAACACCAGUGGCGAAGGCGACUUUCUGGUCUGU
rnacentral:rRNA from 1 species